CCUACGGGGGGCAGCAGUGAGGAAUAUUGGUCAAUGGGCGCAAGCCUGAACCAGCCAAGUCGCGUGAGGGAAGACGGCCCUACGGGUUGUAAACCUCUUUUGCCGGGGAGCAAGCCUGAGCACGUGUGCCCCGGCGGAGAGUACCCGCAGAAAAAGCAUCGGCUAACUCCGUGCCAGCAGCCACGGUAAUACGGGGGAUGCGAGCGUUAUCCGGAUUUAUGGGGUUUAAGGGGUGCGCAGGCGGGCUGUUAAGCCGGGGGUAAAAAUUCAGGGCCCAACCCUGGCGAGCCGUCGGAACUGGCAGGCUUGAGUGGGCGAGAAGUAUGCGGAAUGCGUGGUGUAGCGGUGAAAUGCAUAGAUAUCACGCAGAACGCCGAUUGCGAAGGCAGCAUACCGGAGCCCGACUGACGCUGAGGCACGAAAGCGUGGGGAUCGAACAGGAUUAGAUACCCGAGUAGUC
rnacentral:rRNA from 1 species